rnacentral:lncRNA from 1 species
GCUCACACCGCAGCGCUGCGGGAGAAAGGCGAGCGGGAAGCUGACGGUGCGCAGUGCAAAUCGCGGUUUCCCUGCAGGAAGAGCUGAGUCCCCGCACACCGCACACCGCACACCGCACACCGCACACCGCCGCUCAGCCACGGGGAGGAGUGGGAGUUUGCUCGGGGGCUGCUUUACAGCUGCGCUAAGAGCGGCUCGGAGCGGUUCUGUGCUGGGCACUGCGGUGCAUACACCGACCUUCCAUUCCUCCAAGCAUGGCUGCUUCAUCCGAAUCAUGGAGCCACUGCUCAUCGGCGGAUUAAUGACUAUUUCCAGCAAACAAUGCUUUGAAAAGACGCUCCUAAAGGCAAAGCAAAGAUUGGCAGAAACGCUCACAGCAGCUUAGCACGGAGCUGCCUCAAUGUCUGCCCAAUGCCCAGCCUGGCUCAGCAGUGAGCUCUGGGCAGGGUUUGAGCACGGAGCUGUGGGUGCCUGGAUGAGCUGUGAGGCACAACAUGAGCAAAGCCAUAGCAAAGAGCACUGUGAGCAGAGGAGUACAUUGGACUGAGAGUACCCACCUCUGCCGGGAUCCACACAACUUCAUCUCUCCGAGCAGCACAGCCCCCAGUGUUGGACGGAUGGCCCCAAAACCUCUGAGGUGGUGGCACAGAUCCAUCAGCAUGUGGAACACAGGACCGCAGCGUGGGCUGGCAGCGCCAGGAUUGCACUCUGUGAGCAGCAGUGAUUAUUUCGGAUUUCUGCUAUAAAUAGCUGGGGCUCCGUGUGCCUUUCAGCCUUGGCUUUGGGGAGAGGUGAGGACUACAGAGGGAAAUCCCAGCAGCGGGACUGGCCCUGAUCUGCUGUGAAGUGAGUUCAUCUGACCUGCUCACCCCCGUGUGCCCUGCCCUGGUUUUAUUCGUGAUUACAGACUUCAAAUACGCUGUAAAAGGAACCCGUAUACAACCCUUCAAAAUCACUUAAGUGGGCCAAUGACAGAAGUACCAGCCCUGCAAGUACAUACAGAGCACUGCGGAAAUCAUCCCCGGUGUUUAUUUAUGAGCCACUUUUAAUUAUUCAGCGGGAAUGAAUGAAAGAGGUGGAAAAUGGGAAGCGACAGAGGGCUUUGCAUUGAGUUACAGCUCGUGGAGAGCAAAGGGAGAGAUCACGGCGCUUUCAAGUCGCGAUGGUUGGAGGGUAUAAUUACACCCUGCUGCUUUAUGGGCCAAACCUCAGAGAAUUCAAUGGCAAACUGUGUUUCAGAGAGCGUGAGGAGCCCUCAGAAGGCUUCACACAGCACUGAGGAAGAGCAGAAUGCUUCACAUAGGCAGCAGCAGGCAUGGCAGAGCCCUGGGCUCAGCAAGGUCACCUGUCUGAAGGGGAGCUGCACGGACAGCAGUGCGAGUUCUGCUUGGCACGUCUGCAGGGAGCAGAUAUGGAGAAGGAGAAGUGCUGCGAUGCCACGUGGUUAGCUGAAAAGUGUUUUCUCUGCAGCUCCCACAGGAAAGGCCCAUGACUGAGAAAGAACAUGGUGUUCGUUCAUUGGGACAAGCUGAUCUUCAAGCUGAUUUGUGUUAAUUUGGAAAGUGAGAUCUUUUUUUUGUUGUUGUUGUUCCCCCUUUCUUUUUCCAGGAAAAAUGGAGCUGUCUGGUUUUGAUCACUUGGUGUGCUCAGCACCAAAGCCCUCAGAGUAAAUAUCUCCUAUGAAGGACAUUAAGGACCAACUCAUGGGGAGCAGCAGCAGGAAAACACUGCCAUAAACCCAAUACACAUCACGGUGCAUUCGUUUGUUACUUGGCACUGUAGCCGGGGCAGGGAAAACAUAGGAAGGCAUGGAGCAGAAUGGUGCCUCGGGGUGAUGAGUACAGCUGGGGCAGUGUGAUUAGCCCCAAGUGGCAGAGUCCUCCAUGCGCCCUGCAAGGCAGCUGAUGGCUCUGUGCUCCCUUUCCUGCUGGCUAUGGGAGGAAGGAGGGGAUGACCGGGCACGGUGCAAGCCAGCCUUGCUUUCCAUUCGAAUCCUAGAACCGUAGCCAAAGAAAACAAAGAAAUAGAAAAAGAAAGACGACGCACGGCAGCGUGCUGCUGCUGGAGGAAGGCCGAUAAGGCGGCAGCUGCUGCUCUUCCUCUGGGCUGCCCAGCAGAAAGCUGAAGGCAGCGCCGCCCGGCUCCUCACCCCAGCGCCGGGGAACGGCUUUAAGGAGCCGUGAUGCUCAGCGGGCUGAUAGGCAGAGCGGACGGCAGACCUUCCAGCUUCCUUCUGCCUUCCGAGCACACUCUGCCCAUUGGGCCCCGCUGUAGUGUCACCUCGGGGAUCUCUGUGGUGUUAAAGCGAACUUCUGCACAAGAGCGAGCAACUCCCGUUUGCACCCCCGCCGGUAUUUCUUCCCCAGAAGUGAACUUGCUGCUCUUCGCCGCGAGAUGGAGCCUUCAGAUCGAGCCCUUUCCCUUAGGGUUGGUGGUUGUCUAAAGCAAUUAAGCCUCAUUUAGAGAUCGCACGUGUUUAGUUUUCUCAGAUUACUAUCUGUGGGUCUUUAUUAUUUUUUUUUGUUAAUGAAUCAUAUUUUUCAUCAUCUCUCUCUCUUUUAUCUGAUACGAGGAAACUGCAAAGGCUGCCAGAAUGGGUGCUGCUCCAGCCCAGCUCUGCAGAGGAGGACAGUGAACAAUGCAGCUCUUCUUCCUGGAGAAGCAUCACUCACAGCAUCACAGAAUGGUUGGGUUGGAAGGAACCUCAAGGACCACGAAGCUCCAACACUCCUGCUGCAGGCAGGGCCACCAACCUCCACACUCCAUACCAGCCCAGGCUGCCCAGGGCCCCAUCCAACCUGGCCUUGAACACCUGCAGGGAUGGAUGGGGCAUCCACAGCCCCUCUGGCAGCUGUUCCAGCACCUCACCACUCUCAUAGUAAAGAACUUCCCCUCUGACAUCCAACCUAAAUCUUCCCUCCUUCAACGUUAAACCGUUUCCCCUUGUCCUGCUCGAUGCAUUGCUCGAUGCCACACCACAGGGACAAAGCAGCUGCAGAAAGUGUGUGUUGUGCAAAAGCUGGGGCACGAGUGGGGGCUAAAAGGGACACCUGGAUGGCAGCAUGCUGUCCUUCUCUCUGUUCACCUUCUAGCUCAAUUCUACUUCUGAAAUCUGCCCCCAUUCCAUAUCCUACUGUUCUUCCUGAAGGGCAACGGAAAAGGAUGGCUCUGCUCUUUGGCACCAGCAGAGCUGCUCCUGCCCUGCCUGCUGUGCACCCAUCUGCCACGCUCCUCCCCGGCCUCUGCCCACAGCCACGUCCCCAAAUACCCCGAGAUCUCACUUCCCUUUGGUUUCACUGCCUUUCAGCCCCGAGGGACCAAAUGUUUUGUUUUGCUCUGUGCGUUUCCACGUUCAUCUUUCAUCUUCUGUUUGAAGCUAUUGUGAAGAAGCUGCGAAAAGCAAUGUGGCCCUGGUGCUCCUCUGAUGGCACUCGGGCUCUGGAGAGGUGUCUGAAAGCUGACAGCAGAGCUCUGUGCUGCUGGGAGGAACCAACUUCUGCGUUUGGGCACCCCACUCUGUGGGGAUUGGGGCCAGGACGGGUUGGAGCAGAACCCCAAAGUCUGAAUGCAAUUCAGUGUUUGCCAGAAGGCAGGGACUGAUAAGGCCUGCUGGGCUCUCAGUGCACCUCUUUAGGCACAUAGUGACAAGGAAAAGGUUCAGCUCAGCGAGGAGCAGGCAGUGGCCACUGCUCUGCUGCCUCUGCCCUGUGUGGGCAGCCCUGCCCCGUGAAGCCCUUCCCUUCCCAGACUUAAAACCAACGCCCUCCUGAGUGCCUUCCUGUACCAGCUCCUUUCUGCUCUCUCUCUCUCUCUAUUUUCUGGGGUCACAGCAAAGAGCAGCACUGGGGCAGCACCCAUGGGACCAUAAUGUGUUUGUAGCACACGGACAGACACACGCAGAGCAUUGCUGCUGAGUUCACUGCAGGUCCUCUGGUGCUGCUGUCAAACCUUCAUUUUCAGGUGUUGGAAAUCAUUUGUUUCCCUUCAUCUGUUUUCUGUCCGCAGAUGGUGCUUCCUCUGUAGGUGAUGGACUCGAGGUGACAGUGAUGGCUCAGUGCUUCCUCAUAUAAGCAGAGCUCCAGAACCACCCUCAGCACAGUGCUGCGCAAUGGCUGCAAUGCUUCGCAGAGGAUCAGUGUGUGUAUGUAAAUGGCAGAAUGUUCUCAAGCAGCACUGGAUUUUGCAUUUUAGCAAGGAUUUCCUUCCCAACUCCUCCUUCCUCAGUGCUGCUCAGUACCUCUUUCCCACUCCUGCCCCUUGUUCUUCCCUGCCCAGCUCUUUGCCCUGCAUGGCACGUUCCAGCCCCUCCUUUCUUGCUGAUCUCUGUGAUUAAAAGGUGGUGAGCAACACGGUUAUGAAAGCAAUGAUCUGUGCUGUAUCUUCAGAGGAAUGUCCACCUGCACUGUCUGCAGGAUGGAAACCAGCAGGGAGGCUGCUCCUUACCCUUCUGGCGCAAUGAUUGAACAGAUACUGCCCUCAGUUAAUAACAAUUCCCAAUAACUCUUGAAAUGAAGCAGACACAGCUCUGCUAAUUAAGGUGAAAAAGCAGCUCAUCCAAAUAACUUUCCUCAGAAAGCACGUCCAAUGACACUUCUAUCUGUUACGCUGUGUGUAGUUAUUAUCCCCAGUAGGUUAUACAGGAUGCAAGUGGGAGAAUUUCUGAUGCUCUCAUUAAUUUUGGUGGCAACUUUCUGUACUGGGAAUCAUCAUUCACCUCCACCCAUUGGAAGCAGUUGAAUUUCAGGAAGGUGGCAGUGCACACAUGGCACAGGGUUAAAUUUGGGUUAAAGACAGCAUCAUCUCCAGGCCUCUGGCAAAUGAGGCGGAGUAAGCAGGACACAGCAGGGGAGAUCAGGUCCUUCACAAAUGGGAAUAUUCACUUGGGAAGAAGUAGGAGAAAAUAACCUAGAAAUAAGGUCACUGGUCUCCAGACAGCCCCAUGGGAAAGCCAAGUAGUGCUGAGAGUAAUUUUCCUGCUUAGUGUGGCAGGCGUGUGGGCACACAUCAUAGGGAAGUGAGAGCAAUACAGGCUUUGGACAAUACUAGAAACCCCAAGAGACCACGAAGAGCCCUUAACCCUUUGGGUAAACGGUCCCAUGUGAACACCCAGCACAUUAACUUAUUGUUGCACGAGGCUGGGAAAUGGUUUGGAUCUUAGUUUAUGUGAGCAUUACCAAAGAAUAAAACAUUGCAACAUAUCUGUCAGGAACUGUAUUUCUCUGUGCUACAAUCCUUGAAGAAGAGGAAGUAAACACACUGCUGGCUCUGCACGACUCUUCCUGUAGGGCAACUGCAUUGUCAUCCCCAGGAAAUGCAACACCAAGCCCUGAAAUGAUCUGCACUGUAAAGGGCUGCUACAAUUCUGAGAGCUGUUAAAUUGCAGAGGAACAGAGCUGUGUUUGAUUGGGCAGAACGGUCAGGUUCCUGGGAACCCUUCAUCCUCAGCUGUAUGGUGGAAGAAGAGUGGGGAGUCAGAAACAGGGCAUGGGGAACGUGGCCUCCUCCAUAUCACUGCAGCCGGGUGAGAUGAGGUUAUGGAGGAAAAGGCCAUGGUGUCACGGAGCAGAGCCACAGUUCCCCCCUGUCCCAAAGCUGUUCCCACCACUCCCCAGGGCUCUGCCUGAGCUUGAAUCUCAACACUGGUUGGGGUGUGAAUGUCCCAGUCAGACCAUAGGGAACUGUGGCUUUGUCGGUUUGUAGGUUUGGGUCUGUUGGUUGGUUUGGGUUUAUUUGUGGUGGCGUUGUCACUGUUUUGCAUUACUGAGUGCAUGAACCAGAAACUCAGAGUGUUUUACUCAGUCACCUGGGGAUUACAGCAGAUUCCAGGCUGACCAUGAGCCAAUAGCAUGCUUUUGUCUCAGACAGAGAAAACCACACGUUGGCUUACAGUAGGAUGAGGGAAACCAUUACCGCCUUCUACUCUGUGAGGCCUUUCAUUCAGCUUUGCUGCAGCUGCUGCUGGGCCAAGGACAUCAAGACACCACGUGUGGGGCCAGGAAGAAGAAAUGUGUGCAAUGGACACCUACUGUGGCUUGGGAAACCCAACUGAACAUUAGGAAUAUAAAGAUCAGUAGGGAGGUUUGGCGGUGGGUUGAGUAGUAUGGUUAGGUGGAGGUUGCAUGGUCUUGAAGGUCUCUUCCAACCUGAGCAAUUUGAUGAUCCGAUGAUAAGGCGGUGUAGUACUGGAACAGGUCACUGAGGCCAGUUGGAGACUCCCCAUCCUUAGGGAUUUUCAAGACUCAGCUGCACAAAACCCCACUGAACACUGAUGGAAGCUCUUCCUUGGGUGGGAGGUUGGACGAGACGCCCAACAGAAUUCCUCUCCACCAAACAUUUCCAUAUUUCUAUGACCUUAAAUUCAGGCAAAUGCACGUGCCCUUAGCACAAGUGUGUAAGAUUUCGAUGUAUUUCUAACUGCUUUCAGAUCCAGGGAGUUUCACACGAAAGUGCAACAGAAAAAAGUGUGCAGCUUUAAAGCAUUUCUUAAUCCCACCCCUUUAGAAUCUGAGUGCUGUUUACUCUGCUGUCUGCUGGAGAUCCAACACGUUCAAAAAUAGCAUGGCAUGGGGUCCCAUCAAAGCCUUCUAACAUCACCAGGUGUCUCCUCAGCAUGAAAACAAAUUCUUUGAAGAGAUUGCUUGGAAGAGGAAAAUAAAGUACCGCAAGUGAGCUCCUGUGCUGUGAUGUGGUAUCGGAUGUACAGAAAACAUCUGCAGUAAAACUCGUCUGCAAAAGUGAGGCAGGCAGAUUUCCCCUCUGUGUACAUGAAGAGCCACCUUUUCUGAAUUAAUAAUAAUAAAAACAAGGAUAAUUGUAUUGGGAUCUGUUUGGACACCAUAAUAUUUGGUACGAGCAUCAAGCUUAG